CAGUGUGUACAAAAUAUUGACGACUGAACAAAUCUAUCACCGGCGGUCAUCAAUAAAAAUUAGCUUGGCUUUUCUCCUCUAUUCUCUGGGCGUUGAAAAUGCUACUCUUUUUUCCGGACCAUAAUUUGAGGGCUGGUAUGAAUUGCUCAAAAAGCAAAAAUAAAAGCACGCAGAUGCUAAAUAAAUAAAAAUGUCGGUAAUGAAGAGAAAACACAUCUGGAUCAUCAGGACAACUGGAGCAAUUCUGAAAGAAAGUUUACACACCAGGCUUCACAAUGCCCCGGAGUUUCCACCCACCAAGUCCUGCCAGCGAAAAUGCCUGCAAUUUAAAGUAUGCAUCAAGACAGUGGCAAGUAGGAAAGGCGACAAAAAUAAUUCCCCGCAGACGUAAUGACCAUAUCGCUAAAGUCCCAAUUCAUUACUAAAUCCUAUUUCCAAAGGUAGGCGGUAAAUGCUACUCCAAUUCCAAAGAAACUGACAGAUUUUUAUCAGUGUUUCCCAGUAUAGAAUAGAUGAUCCAUGUUCAGUUGUGCAGCCUCUUGGAUCUCAAGGUGCAAACAAUUGUGUUCUUAACAUCAAGAACUUCUACAUAAGCAGAGUGUGUUCAAACUCAAAUAUCAUCCUCCAACAUACGGUAAUCAAAACCAGUUAAACUUCUUAGAAUCACAAGCCAACAUUGAAGAAAUUGACACGGAAAAAUGACUUAGGAAAUUGAUCAAUCCAUCAUUAACUUAAGUUUUAACCCGGUAGGUGGACUAGUUUUGCACCACCUUGAAUAAAUUUCAUGUUCAACUGCAGCUGAAAAGGAACUGCAUAGGUAAAUGACACAUCGGGGUCUAUUUGGAACAUAUACAUUUAAUGCUCAAGUUGCUUACAGCAGCAGUAAUGGAAAACCAGGUUACUGAAGGAAUGCAUUUGUUACUUUCUACAAAUAUUUGGACUCUUAAAACACAUUUGGAAUAUGAUGAUGUGGGUGUGAGCUUUUAUAUCGACAAGAAUGAGAAGACCAGUAGAAACGUAUUAAAGAUAGUUCAAUAAGCAGGAGAAAUCAGAUUAGUGUAAAAGGUCAUUUUCAAAACUUUUAAUCUCCCAGUCCCUAGUUCAGUAUAUUCUUACUAUUUACGGUUGAAACUCUGGCCGAAUCAACAAGCUCUAAUUUGUUUCUCAUGUUUGGAUAGUACAACUCUACACCCAAUAUGCUCGUUGGUCGCCUGAAACCAAUCAUUUCUCACCCUAUGAAUACCAGCACAAACAUAGUCACAGUUUCUGGGUGUCAAUGGCUUAGCUUUGAAGUUACUGCCUGAGCAAUUUAUUCAGUAUCAGCUGACGUUAUUGGUGCAGGUCCCAUGCAUGAAAAGUAGAAUAAUAAACAAUUGCUAAUACAAUUGAAUGUUG
rnacentral:lncRNA from 1 species